CUACACCUUCUUGCUGUUUUAAGACAGAGAGAGACUGGCUGACUCAUUUUCAGAAUGGAAAAGCUGCGUCUUGCCACACCCUCCCCACCAUGAUGUUCUGCUUUAUUGUAGAUCCAUAGGGAUGAAGGUCCAGUGGGACCACCUGCCUGGUGCCAGAGCUUGAG